GUGCUCACGUCGGCGGCACAUACAUGAAAAUUGGAACAGCACAGGGAAGAUUAGCAGGGCCCCUGGCAGGCAAGGGUGACACACAUUCCCAAAGCCUUCCAUCAUUUU
ensembl:snRNA U6 U6 spliceosomal RNA